UACGGAGGAUCCAAGCGUUGUCCGGAUUUAUUGGGUUUAAAGGGUGCGUAGGCGGAUAAUUAAGUCAGUGGUGAAAUCUUGCGGCUCAACCGUAAAAUUGCCAUUGAAACUGAUUAUCUUGAGUACAGUUGAGGUGGGCGGAAUGUAUCAUGUAGCGGUGAAAUGCUUAGAUAUGAUACAGAACACCUAUUGCGAAAGCAGCUCACUAAAGUGUAAACUGACGCUGAGGCACGAAAAGCGUGGGGGAUCAAACAGG
rnacentral:rRNA from 1 species